GACGAACGCUGGCGGCGUGCUUAACACAUGCAAGUCGAACGGAAAGGCCCUGCUUUUGUGGGGUGCUCGAGUGGCGAACGGGUGAGUAACACGUGAGUAACCUGCCCUUGACUUUGGGAUAACUUCAGGAAACUGGGGCUAAUACCGGAUAGGAGCUCCUGCUGCAUGGUGGGGGUUGGAAAGUUUCGGCGGUUGGGGAUGGACUCGCGGCUUAUCAGCUUGUUGGUGGGGUAGUGGCUUACCAAGGCUUUGACGGGUAGCCGGCCUGAGAGGGUGACCGGCCACAUUGGGACUGAGAUACGGCCCAGACUCCUACGGGAGGCAGCAGUGGGGAAUAUUGCACAAUGGGCGGAAGCCUGAUGCAGCAAUGCCGCGUGCGGGAUGACGGCCCUCGGGUUGUAAACCGCUUUCGCCUGUGACGAAGCGUGAGUGACGGUAAUGGGUAAAGAAGCACCGGCUAACUACGUG
rnacentral:rRNA from 1 species